rnacentral:lncRNA from 1 species
UCAUCGAAUCCGUUGGCCACCUGUGUCAUCUCCGGCGUGAUGUAGACCGAAAUCAUACUGUCAGAAGACCAACACAGAGCUCGAAUCGGAACCGACCCAAAGAAAUCCUGGCUAAGGAUGAAGCAAUCCUUCUCCUCCAUGGGUCCGUCCGCGUCCAUCGGCGAGGCCUCCUGCGGCAACAGGGCCAGCAGCAGCAGCUGAGGAAGCGGCGGCGGUGGCGGAGCCGGGUCCCCGCGGUAGUGUCACACCCGGUUUUAAAGGUAAAACCGAAUGCUACCUAUAUGUAUGCCAGGAUCAAAUUUCAUACAUAUAGUGACAGCAUAAGUGAAUAACAGCAACAGUAUCACGUAAAAAGAUACAAAUAAAGACUUACGAAACCAUCAGAGAUACACAGCUUAAAUACUGGAGAUGGAGGCUCCAAACUUCACAGGCAAUCGACUGGGGGUUGCGUACGCCUAGAACUCCGCACCAUCUUCACAACAACUUCAUAGCAGCUUCUUCUUCUGAGGAACGUUGUUUAUAGCAAGGGUGAGCACUUGUCGUACUCAGCAAGUGUGAGGAGAAUAUGAAUGCAAGGUUAAACAAGGAAAGGCUGACUGGUUGACUGCAUUAAGCAUUUUUAGUUGGUCAAAUUUUAUUAGCACCUGAUUACUAAGGUAUAAGUAUAUACCAACCCACAAUUAAUAUAAACAUAAACAUAAGCCAUAAACACAUGGCAGAAACAUAACCAUAAGCCAUAAGCAUAUGGCACAACCAUAACCAUAGCAUAAACCACAAUUUAAAUCCAUCUUCAAGUAUAUUACUCAUGUGAGGGUCCAGGCCGCUCUUGACCAUGAGCAUGGCUGAUCGAUCAGUUUUACACUCUGCAGAGGUCGCACAUCUUUACCCACAAGUCGCGUAAAAGUUCAAAAGAACUUUAGACCCAACCACGCUUGUGCUGAUCAGGCACAAUUGUGGCAGAACCACCUCAGAUUAGCUUGAUUCAGCAAGAUUAAGUCGCCUAACAUGCGACACUUCUGCUUAAAUCGAGCUAACACGGGGUGCCGUCGGAUUUCAUCCGAUUUAACCACUUAACAAGAUCGAGUCUAGCAAACCCACACGAAGGUGAGCGGUUAUAGAGAAUACAACGAGUCCACUGAGUUAAGCAGGUCUUACUCAAUUAGUUCGGUCAUAAAAAUUUACAUCAGAGUUUUACAGGUUUUCAAGAAAAUCAACAGAGAAAAGCUAGCGGAAGACUUCGUCGGGGUCGGAUAUCCGGGCGAGGCCAGCCAGAACAUCACUGAGUCCUCUCCUCGCCGUCCGAGGAGGGGUCCCACUCGACCGUCCAGCCUGGCGGGAGCUGGGGCGGCCAAGCACCAACCAGAGAGGGGUCGGACGCGGCAACUUCACCUGAAAACAGAAGCCACAACAAGGUUGAGCUACUAAGCUCAACAAGACUUAACCGACCGGAGUAAGGACUACUCCUCCUUCUAGACAUGCAAGGCUUCUUGGCUGAGGGGUGUGUUUGCCAAAAGCACUAGUAACCUAAUUUUCAAGUUUUAGCUCCGGUUCUAGGUUCAUUUACCAGUCUAGGUUGUGCAACCUGUUCUAAGCAAACAUAGAGCCAAACAAGAUGUGUAAGUAUAACAACAAACAUUGCCAUCAUCAGAUUCCUCAUUUACUCAGGGUGACAUAGCGAUCAAGAAAUCUCAGACUGUGAGAGGCAGACGAAUCGAUUCGAGUUCUUUAACCAUGCAUGGUGAACCUAGCCUCACGACAUCCGCGCACCCGGAGAUCGCUUCCUGUGUCGGCCUUCCCCAUCAAUCCCCUAACCCGUGUCGGGCCCAUUUCCUUUGGUGCAAGGUUCCACAGACCCGGCCUCUGCCGUCCUGUGACCACGCUUUGCCACCACGUGCGACAACCAGCAGGGGAAACUCCAUUCCAAGAACAAUGGGGCGACCGCUCACGUCUAGGUUCAAUCAGGUACUAAGCUUCCUCAUCCCAUACUAAGUAUGAGGCUAGUACUUUCAAACACUUGAUCAUGAACACCACCACUGUCGGACCUUAGCAAGUUUUCAUAGACAGACGGGGCGACCAUCCGACCACCAAAAAGUUACCAUACCCUGCCCCGUCCAUCGUCCUUAUAGUUGUAACAGGAGAGUAAAUCAUGCAACUCCUACAACUCGCGAGUGACAGGAGAUCACUCGGCUUUUACCGUCUCCUAUUUAAGCAAUGCAACUACUCGGUCCAACAGCUAGUGCUCAUAUCAAGGGUCAACUAGGUCGUGCAUCUAGGGUUUCACACAACUCCUAAACGUAAAUGCACAAACAUGCUAUACGGAAGGCAUGCGCAAGUUUGGCGAAACACGUAGGAUUCUCAUGCAACCGGGGCUUGCCUGCAAGCAAAGGGGACGGAAGUUGCUCGACUUCUGGGGCGACUUCGGCUUCCGCGGGCAGGAACUCGGCUACAGCUUCUUCGUCGGGCGCCGGGUGCAACUCGUAGAAGCCGUCGGCGAGGUGCAGCUCUACACGAAUGCAAUGCAAGGGUUAGCUUAAAUGUUUAUUUCAACAGCAACACUGGCUCGCCUGAGCCCAGAAACUUGCGACAAGGAGCAGGAGGUUAUGAUGGUUCGAGAGAGCUGAUGAUGAUCAAGAGGUAAGGGUAGGAAGGAACUAGUGGUCUGAUUCUUGAACUAGAGGAUGUGAUAACUGGGAUUCUUAGACGCAAGCGCUACAGGGUUCCCAAGUUUUACACUUACACCCUCAAGUUGAAGAAAAAGAUCACAGCCAAGCCCUCGGGCGAGGCGGAACAGACAGGGUCGGACGAGACGGAACCGGGGUCGGGCGGAUAGGAGGGGUCGGGUGAGACGGACUUAGGGUCGGCAACUCACCUUCUUCCUGAAAGGAAAGCUUGGGGUCAGGAAGAGGCAGACUUGGGCGGAAGGUCUAAAGCUUCGAGGAAGGGCUAAGACCGGCAAUGCUCCGGCGGCGGCGCUGCUUCUUGCGGAUCACAAGAGAGCUCUACGCAGCACAAAAGAGCAAGCUGCUGGGUGACUUGGAGGAACUGAGAAGGAACUGGGAGAAGAACUUCUCAAGAACUGGGUGGGUGGCGCUAGGAGCUUGAGUAGGGAGCUAGAGAAGGCUAAAGGCAACAAAGGCGGAGGGAAGUCCGGUGACGGGGGCAUUCCUUUUAUAGCUGCUGGAGCAGAGGAACGGAAACGUCGCGGAGAGAGAGAAGGGGAGCGGCGCGAAGGCCGGGAAGAAGCAAUGGAGUGCUCUGCCGUGGCGGCGAUUGAGCAAACAGGGCGGUGCCGCAGGACUCCGGGGGUGACGCCAGCGAUCAUUGCGCUAUACCGUCAGGGCGGCGUAGGCGCUGGUAGACCGGUGGUUGGAAUUUGGCGGAAAGCGGGCAUCGCCGUGCGCAAGAGGUGAUGGAAGCGACCGGUUAAACGGCGCUAGAAUCGAGGGCGCACAGGUGAGAAGACAGGCGGACGCGGGCGCGGGGGAGAGCGCGGAACAACAGAUUGUCGGGCGGCUUCUGACAGAGCGGGGAAAGGAACUAUCGCGGACAUGGUCGGGGUUGGCGGUGGGGGAAUCGUCGUGUAGCGACGACCGGGCGGCGCAACUGUUGUUGAAGGGUUGGAAAAGACGGGCGACAUCGGUCUCCGGGGCCGGGAUCUGGUAUCGUGAUGAUGGGCGCGGGAGACGAGGCUCUGCCGAAAGGGGUGCAGAGGGCUUCCGCUGCCAUUGGGGAAAAGGGGCGCGGGAACCCACUCUGCGGCUUGUCAGAGACAAAACUGAGCGACGGCGUCGGAGAAGGCGAGCCACGCGGCAAGGAAAACUCUGAGGCGGCCAUGCAACUCGAGUGCGGCUAUCGCGGAGGAUCUGGAAAAGAUCUCACGGGUCCACCGGGGGGAACAAGAUCGGACGGGUGAGGAAGGUCAGCAGGAUCCGAUGGUCGGGCUGAGCUCGCGGGGGUCGGGAGAGGAGCGAAACAGGUAGGGGUCGGAGCUCAGGGGUCGGGACCGGCGGAAACUGGGCACUUAGGUGCGGUCAAACAAAACAGCUGACUAAGGUUAAGGGCUGGGAUUAAGCCUAACUGGGAAGGCUUAGGGGUCGGUCGUUACAGCCUACCCCUCUUAAAAAGAAUAUCGUCCCGAGAUUCAAGGAUCAAGGGUGUGUCGUUCUUACCUCCUUGAUGGGACAGAAAACCUGGGAAACGCUUGUUCAGAUACUCGUCCGUUUCCCAUGUUGCUUCAUCUUCGGUGUGGUUUCUCCAAAGGAUCUUGUACAUCUUUACCACUUGGCGUCGGGUGUGCCUUUCCUUUUGGUCAAGAACUCGAUCUGGGUACUCGGCGUAGGUCAGGUUAGGUUCUACUUGAAGCUGUUCUUGUUCUAAGAUCUCCGCUGGAACUCGGACACAUUUCUUCAGUUGAGACAUAUGGAAAACAUCAUGUAUGGCUGAUAGCUGUUCUGGGAGUUGGAUCCGGUAAGCAACGGGUCCACAUCUCUCCAAAAUCUCAUAAGGGCCAACAUAGCGGGGAGCUAACUUGCCUUUUAUUCUAAACCGUUGCACUCCUUUGGUCGGGGAGACUCGAAGGUACACAUGAUCACCAAGGUCGAACUGCAGGGGUCUCCUCCACUGGUCGGAGUAACUCUUCUGUCGAGAUUGGGCAGCCUUGAGAUUUGCCUGAAUUACCUUCACUUGUUCUUCGGCUUCUGCCACUAAGUCAGGGCCAUAAACCUGUCUCUCUCCUGGUUGGGACCAAUUCAAGGGUGUCCUGCAUCUCCGGCCGUACAGGGCCUCAAACGGUGCCAUCUUCAAACUGGCCUGAUAGCUGUUGUUGUAGGAGAACUCUGCUAAGGGCAGGCACUUGUCCCAGCUUUUAUCGUAGUGGAUAACACAAGCUCUUAGCAUGUCUUCGAGGAUCUGAUUUAUUCUCUCGGUUUGGUCAUCGGUUUGGGGAUGAUAUGUUGAGCUUCGGAUGAGCUUGGUGCCUAUAGAUGCUUGUAAUUGCUCCCAAAAACGGGCUACAAACUGAACUCCUCGAUCAGAGACGAUGGUCUUGGGUACACCAUGUAGGGAAACAAUACGGUCGAGGUACAACUCUGCAUAUUGCUUGACUGUAUAGGUGGUACGAACAGGAAAGAAAUGUGUUGUCUUGGUCAGACGGUCCACUAUAACCCAGAUGGAAUCAUACCGUUGAGUUGUAACGGGUAAUCCAACUAUGAAGUCCAUGCUGAUGUCUUCCCAUUUCCAAGAGGGAAUAGGUAGCGGCUGCAGGGUUCCUGCUACCUUCAAGUGACUGGCCUUGACAUGUUGACAGGUGUCACAUAAUGAAACGUAACGAGCUAUCUCCGGUUUCAUCCCACUCCACCAAAAGGUCUGACGGAGAUCAUGGUACAUCUUGUUGCUGCCAGGGUGGAUUGAGAACUUGGAAAGAUGAGCUUCAUCUAGGAUCUGCUUCCUCAACUCGGGGUCGGUGGGCACUACUAGUCGGUUUCCAUAAUACACACCUCCCAUUUCGUCCUGACGGAAACGCUUAUAUCCUUCAUCCUUUACCGAGAUCUUACUGAGGACUCGUUUUAUUUCUUCAUCCUUAGCUUGUGCUGACCGAAUUCGGUCCUCCAAAACUGAGUCAAGGAUGAUGUGAUCAAGGGUUCCAUAGGGAACAAUCUCCAGACUUAGUUUUCUCAUCUCGUGACACAGAGUGUUGGUGAAGGCGGUUGACAACAAGCAGUUGCACUGGGGUUUGCGACUGAGGGCAUCAGCUACCACAUUGGCCUUGCCAGGAUGAUAGUGCACUUCCAACUCAUAAUCCUUUAUCAACUCCAGCCAUCUUCUCUGACGCAUGUUGAGAUCGGCUUGAGUGAAGAUGUACUUGAGGCUCUUGUGGUCGGUGUAGAUGUUGCAGUGAGCUCCCAUUAAGUAGUGCCUCCAUAUCUUCAAGGCAUGUAUCACUGCUGCCAACUCAAGGUCAUGGGUCGGGUAGUUCAGCUCAUGAGGUCGUAACGCACGUGAGGCAUAGGCAAUGACUCGGCUGUCUUGCAUAAGAACACAUCCGAGUCCAGUGCCAGAGGCGUCACAGUAUACGUCAUACGGCCUAGAGGGGUCGGGUUGAGCCAAAACUGGGGCGGUGGUUAGCAAGUGCUUCAGGGUCUUGAAAGCUUCUUCACACUUGGUGUCCUACACAAACUUGACCUCUUUGUUCAGCAACUCGGUCAUCGGCUUAGCUAUCUUGGAGAAAUCCGGUAUAAAACGCCGAUAGUAACCUGCCAGUCCAAGGAAACUCCUGAUCUGGUGUACUGAGGUAGGAGACUUACAUUCCAUGACUUCUUGCACCUUGAUGGGAUCCACGGCGAUACCGUCCUUGGAGAUAGUGUGUCCCAGAAACUUGACACUAUCUAACCAAAACUCACACUUGGAGAAUUUUGCAUAAAGCUGGUGAUCUCUCAGCCGUUGGAGAACUAUACGAAGAUGGUUGGCAUGCUCCUCUUCAUUCUUUGAGUACACCACUACAAACUUGUCCAGCUCGGGCAUAAACACCGAGUUCAUAAGGUACAUGAAGUAAGCGGGUGCAUUGGUGAGUCCAAAGGACAUGACUAGGUACUCAUACAAUCCAUAUCUGGUAGAGAAAGCUGUCUUGGGUAUGUCGCAGGGUCGAAUCUUUAUUUGGUGAUAACCAGAACGAAGAUCGAUCUUGGAGAACACUUUCGCUCCAGCUAAUUGAUCGAACAAGACAUCAAUGCGUGGCAGUGGGUACUUGUUCUUGACUGUUACCGCAUUGAGGAGUCGGUAAUCCACACACAUCCGUAAACUGCCGUCUUUCUUCUUCACAAACAGGGCGGGGCAACCCCAAGAUGAUGUACUGGGUCGAAUGAAGCCCUUUUCCAGCAGAUCAUGCAACUGGGUCUUCAACACGGCUAACUCAGCGGGUGGCAUCCGAUAGGGUCUCUUAGAUAUCGGGGCUGUGCCAGGAACCAACUCUAUGGAAAACUCAACUUCUCGAUCAGGUGGCAUACCUGGCAAAUCUUCUGGAAACACAUCUGGGUACUCACUGAUAAUAGGGAGGUCUUCUAAACGGGCUCCCAAGAGAGGGUAGGCACAAGGAGUCGAAGACUCAGGAUGGGUCAAGGAUAGGGUAGAACUGCCUUGAGAGGGUGAGCUGAUGUAAAGAGAUCGGGCUGAUGUAUCUAAAACAACAUGAUGUCGGGCCAUCCAAUCCAUGCCAAGGAUAACAUCUAGGCCUUCAAGGUCAAGGAUGAUAAGGUUUUCCUUGAAGAGGGUGGGGCCUAGCUGGAGAGGUACAAGAAUAACGACCUGAUCCGACGUUAUCCUUCCUCCAGGAGUGGCGAUCACAUAGGGUUCCUUAGUGUGACCGACACUUAGCCCACAUCUUUCCCUUGCCUUACUCCCGACAAAGCUAUGAGAGGCUCCCGAAUCAAACAACACAACAACAGCUUGAUUUAAAACAAGGAAAGUACCCUUCAUUACUGACGCACCUUCGGGAAGUUCGGUCAAGCUGGUGUAGUUGAGUCGGCCUUGUCGGACUUGCACCUUGGGCCUUCUUCCUCUGGCUGCCACGGGGUUCUGGUCUUGCUGCUGAUUCUUGUUCCUGGGGCAGUCCUUUGCAAAAUGCCCCUCAUUGCCGCAGGUAAAACAUCUGUUACUGGCUGCCGGGCGAGGUGGCGUUGGCAGGGUCGGCCGGGGUACUUGUGGUUGGAAGCCUGGGAAACGAGGCAUUGCGGCCGGCGGGGGUCGGGCGAUCCAUUUCCCUGACUGUUGGGGUCGGCCAGGGGCUUGUGGAGGAACCAUCCGGAAUCUUCGAGUUGGCGGGCUCGGAAAAGCCACAGAGGCUUUCCUCUUCUGGUCGGCCUUGAGAGCUUGCAUGCAGUCCUCCUGGGAGAUGGCCAGGUUGACCAACUCAUUAUAGGUGUCCACCCUGAUGGGGUUCAGCCUUUCCCUGAGCUCCAAGCUCAGUCCUCGGCGGAAUCUGUCCCGCUUCUUCUCAUCGGUGUCCGCAUGAUAGCCAGCAUAACGGCAUAGGUCAUUGAACGCCUGGCGUUGUGCAGCACAUCCCGAGUUCCUUGGGUGAGGGCCAGAAACUCGUUGAGCUUGCGCUCCAGGAGACCUUCGGGAAUGUGAUGCGCUUUAAACGCCGUCUUGAACUCGUUCCAACUGAUCACGUGGCCAGCAGGUAGCGUGGCAUGGUAGUGGUCCCACCAAAGCUGUGCGGAACCACGCAGCUGCUGAGCUGCGAACCGCACCUUGUUGUUGUCGGGGCAUGGAGCGGUGAGGAGCUCGAACUUGGAUUCGAUCGUACGAACCCAUGCAUCAGCGUCGAGCGGUUCUUGUGUCUUUUGGAACAGCGGGGGCUGCAUCCCCAGAAAGUCCUCGUACCGCACGAUAUGCGGCUGCUGCUGUACUCUACCAACCUGUGCUGUUGCUGGUGUCCCUGCACCAGAUGCCGUAGCAGCUCGGUUUGAGUUGCUAGGAUUGCUUCCAACGGCGAUGGGGGCGGGGGCGGGGGAAGAUCCUGUCGCUGAUCACUACCACUGGGCACAGAUCCAGACCUGGUGUGGUGCGCCAUCUGCAAGAGUUAACGCCCCAUUACUUUCAUAACCUUAGGUGUACUCCAACAUAUGGAACGUAUGAAAUAAAUCCCUUAAUGCGACUCUUGCCCAUGGUGCAUCACACGUCCUCAUAGAGGAAGCACAUUCCUCCCAUUCUCAGCAUAGAUAACCUCUACUUACCCUGGCACUUCACUUGAGGCACACAUACCUCAUACAGGUUCCUAGGAUCUGAUCCUCUCAAACCAAGGGGUCGGAUACGGUCCGUACUCAAAAAGGGUCGGACGAGGCGGUAACUGCCUCAAGGGUCGGCGCACUCUGGCCCGCAAACUAGGGUCGGCCAACUGAACAGGCUCCCCGAAAACAACAUAGGGUUACGGCGCAACUUACUCAACCCUAGCAUCCACACCAUACGAAAAGAUAAAACUAUGCACCGGUUGACUUUAUACACAACGAGGUUUCAACACAGGGAAUACUCAACUCAAGGCUAACCUAUUACAGCUUUCCAAAAACUAGGCUGCCGAGGAGUACAACCAAAGAAAGAAGGUUCCCUGAGAACCCUUAAGCUACCACUGGACACUAUGAGUCGGAGAAGGGGCGCCAUCUUCUUCUAUGUCCAUGCUGGUCGCUCCCUCGUCUUCCUCAGGGUCCUCCUGAGCUUCAAGCUGCAUGUUGAGGGCAUGCAUAUCUUCAAGCUCAGCUUGGUGCUCCUCAAGGUGGGCAUUGGCGACUGCCAACUCCAUCUCCACCUCCAUCUUCUCCUCCGAGAGCUCUAUCAUGCCAUCCACGAGGUCGGCAACUUCUCCUUCCAGCUCGGAGAUCCGAUCUUGCAUGUCGUGGAUCUGGAUACCACGUUGGAUCAGCUGGUAGGUUUGGCCUACCAGGUCUCUUCUAGCUGCCUGGAGGUAUCCGUGGGUGUCUGCAGCCAUCCGGGCAAAGAGAGUCAUGGCUCUUCCUUGGAGCUCUAUCAACCGGUAGAGAGCAGCCAUGCAACGGACAUUGGUGGAGAUGGUGACCAUAGCACAGGUAGUGGCCAACACCUCGAGGUUUCCGAUGCGGUCCAGCCAAGCCGGGUCCAGCCGACUCCUGACGGGAAAAAGAUCGAUCGGGUCCAACGUGAUCUCCACAGGGUGCAACUGACAGAACUGAGUGAGCAACUGAAGGGUGGCGGAUUCCCACGUGUCUUCCGGAGAAAGACCAUAGGCUAUUAUGCCCAGAGAGGGCCAGUCGGGCCGUGCAAGGGGAGGUGGUACCAACGCUUGCACCUAGCACGUCUGAAUGCCCUGCUCCAUAUACAGCUGCCCAGCAUACAGGGGCGGGGACUGAUACCCAAACCACCUCAGCGUAUCCCACAAGAUCGCGGGAAACCCCUCGAAAUGCAGGCAUGUUGAUUGGAAGGUACCGUCCGCUCCAAAAACCACAUGCCCGGGAACAGCCAUCUGGAACCAAGAAAACCGAAACCACGUGAGAUAACUCCGAGGAUCAGGGGUCGGAUAGAGAAGCAGAAGGGCUUAACCGAGAGCAACUAAGAGGAACUAGAAAUCCUUAGAUCCAAAAGAACUCUUUCGAACAGGGCUGCUGUUGAGAAGGAAACAUUACAGAUUUUAGGUAUGACGCAUGCACGGCCUACCGUUCUCUUAACCAAAAACAACUGCCCAAACUUUGGGUCUUACGCGGUCAGCGCCGGUGACAAGGCAACAAUACGUCUCUCCCUAUAAUAACUAGCCGGUUCUAGCAACGCCUUAACGAGCGCGGUUAGCAAACUGCAGAAAAGCACCACACACGAACCUUCCGUGCCAGCACCCACGAAAGCGUUCCCAAACAUUACCGCUCACUAUAGGAACGGCACCCAUGCGUUUAAGGCUGCAUGGACAUCACUCAACCGUGGAAAUAGGCUCCCUUUGAAUGGAUCCCUAUAACCCUUCGCACACUCGUGAUGCGGAAUCGGCACACGUAUGACAAACGUGGCGAAACAGCCGUGCCGAUAGGUUCGUUGGAAUCGAACCGUAUCAACCUUCGUAUGGAUCACAUACGGAACCUGCGCACGUAUAAUAGACAUGGGCGAAAACAACCGCGAAGAUAGGGUCCCUUGAAUGGAACUCCCUAUCAACCCUCGCAUGCUCGCGAUGCGGAACUCGGCACACGUAUAAUAGACGUGGCGAAGUGCUGGAGGAGUUAGCAACAUAACCAGAUACUUAUUAGUCACCUGAAACAACCCCAAAAUCCCCUAGGGCCUCUCGCACUAAGUCAUCCUUAACGAUCGUACGAGAUUUUCAAAAGGUUCUUGCAACUUUUACAUUAUCAAAGAAGUGUUGAGGGCUCAUUGGGUUCUCUGAUAUGCUAAACACGGCUCUGAUACCAGCUGUGGCGGAACCACCUCGAAUUAGCUUGAUUCAGCAAGAUUAAGUCGCCUAACAUGCGACACUUCUGCUUAAACCGAGCUAACACGGGGUGCCGUCGGAUUUCAUCCGAUUUAACCACUUAACAGGAUCGAGUCUAGCAAACCCACACGAAGGUGAGCGGUUACAGAGAAUACAACGAGUCCACUGAGUUAAGCAGGUCUUACUCAAUUAGUUCGGUCAUAAAAAUUUACAUCAGAGUUUUACAGGUUUUCAAGAAAAUCAACAGAGAAAAGCUAGCGGAAGAGUUCGUCGGGGUCGGAUGUCCGGGCGAGGCCAGCCAGAACAUCACUGAGUCCUCUCCUCGCCGUCCGAGGAGGGGUCCCACUCGACCGUCCAGCCUGGCGGGAGCUGGGGCGGCCAAGCACCAACCAGAGAGGGGUCGGACGCGGCAACUUCACCUGAAAACAGAAGCCACAACAAGGCUGAGCUACUAAGCUCAACAAGACUUAACCGAUUGGAGUAAGGACUACUCCUCCUUCUAGACAUGCAAGGCUUCUUGGCUGAGGGGUGUGUUUGCCAAAAGCACUAGUAACCUAAUUUUCAAGUUUUAACUCCGGUUCUAGGUUCAUUUACCAGUCUAGGUUGUGCAACCUGUUCUAAGCAAACAUAGAGCCAAACAAGAUGUGUAAGUAUAACAACAAACAUUGCCAUCAUCAGAUUCCUCAUUUACUCAGGGUGACAUAGCGAUCAAGAAAUCUCAGACUGUGAGAGGCAGACGAAUCGAUUCGAGUUCUUUAACCAUGCAUGGUGAACCUAGCCUCACAACAUCCGCGCACCCGGAGGUCGCUUCCUGUGUCGGCCUUCCCCAUCAAUACCCUAACCCGUGUCGGGCCCAUUUCCUUUGGUGUAAGGUUCCACAGACCCGGCCUCUGCCGUCCUGUGACCACGCUUUGCCACCACGUGCGACAACCAGCAGGGGAAACUCCGUUCCAAGAACAAUGGGGCGACCGCUCACGUCUAGGUUCAAUCAGGUACUAAGCUUCCUCAUCCCAUACUAAGUAUGAGGCUAGUACUUUCAAACACUUGAUCAUGAACACCACCACUGUCGGGCCUUAGCAAGUUUUUAUAGACAGACGGGGCGACCAUCCGACCACCAAAAAGUUACCAUACCCUGCCCCGUCCAUCGUCCUUAUAGUUGUAACAGGAGAGUAAAUCAUGCAACUCCUACAACUCGCGAGUGACAGGAGAUCACUCGGCUUUUACCGUCUCCUAUUUAAGCAAUGCAACUACUCGGUCCAACAGCUAGUGCUCAUAUCAAGGGUCAACUAGGUCGUGCAUCUAGGGUUUCACACAACUCCUAAACGUAAAUGCACAAACAUGCUAUACGGAAGGCAUGCGCAAGUUUGGCGAAACACGUAGGAUUCUCAUGCAACCGGGGCUUGCCUGCAAGCAAAGGGGACGGAAGCUGCUCGACUUCUGGGGCGACUUCGGCUUCCGCGGGCAGGAACUCGGCUACAGCUUCUUCGUCGGGCGCCGGGUGCAACUCGUAGAAGCCGUCGGCGAGGUGCAGCUCUACACGAAUGCAAUGCAAGGGUUAGCUUAAACGUUUAUUUCAACAGCAACACUGGCUCGCCUGAGCCCAGAAACUUGCGACAAGGAGCAGGAGGUUAUGAUGGUUCGAGAGAGCUGAUGAUGAUCAAGAGGUAAGGGUAGGAAGGAACUAGUGGUCUGAUUCUUGAACUAGAGGAUGUGAUAACUGGGAUUCUUAGACGCAAGCGCUACAGGGUUCCCAAGUUUUACACUUACACCCUCGAGUUGAAGAAAAAGAUCACAGCCAAGCCCUCGGGCGAGGCGGAACAGACAGGGUCGGACGAGACGGAACCGGGGUCGGGCGGAUAGGAGGGGUCGGGCGAGACGGACUUAGGGUCGCAACUCACCUUCUUCCUGAAAGGAAAGCUUGGGGUCGGGAAGAGGCAGACUUGGGCGGAAGGUCUAAAGCUUCGAGCAAGGGCUAAGACCGGCAAUGCUUUGGCGGCGGCGCUGCUUCUUGCGGAUCACAAGAGAGCUCUACGCAGCACAAAGGAGCAAGCUGCUGGGUGACUUGGAGGAACUGAGAAGGAACUGGGAGAAGAACUUCUCAAGAACUGGGUGGGUGGCGCUAGGAGCUUGAGCAGGGAGCUAGAGAAGGCUAAAGGCAACAAAGGCGGAGGGAAGUCCGGUGACGGGGGCAUUCCUUUUAUAGCUGCUGGAGCAGAGGAACGGAAACGUCGCGGAGAGAGAGAAGGGGAGCGGCGCGAAGGCCGGGAAGAAGCAAUGGAGUGCUCUGCCGUGGCGGCGAUUGAGCAAACAGGGCGGUGCCGUAGGACUCCGGGGGUGACGCCAGCGAUCAUUGCGCUAUACCGUCAGGGCGACGUAGGCGCUGGUAGACCGGUGGUUGGGAUUUGGCGGAAAGUGGGCGUCGCCGUGCGGAAGAGGUGAUGGAAGCGACCGGUUAAACGGUGCUAGAAUCGAGGGCGCACAGGUUAGAAGACAGGCGGACGCGGGCGCGGGGGAGAGCGCGGAACAACAGAUUGUCGGGCGGCUUCUGGCAGAGCGGGGAAAGGAACUGUCGCGGCCGCGGUCGGGGUUGGCGGUGGGGGAAUCAUCGUGUAGCGACGACCGGGCGGCGCAACUGUUGUUGAAGGGACGGAAAAGACGGGCGACAUCGGUCUCCGGGGCCGGGAUCUGGUAUCGUGAUGAUGGGCGCGGGAGACGAGGCUCUGCCGAAAGGGGUGCAGAGGGCUUCCGCUACCAUUGGGGAAAAGGGGCGCGUGAACCCACUCUGCGGCUUGUCAGAGACAAAACUGAGCGACGGCGUCGGAGAAGGCGAGCCACGCGGCAAGGAAAACUCUGAGGCGGCCAUGCAACUCGAGUGCGGCUGUCGCGGAGGAUCUAGAAAAGAUCUCACGGGUCCACCGGGGGGAAAAAGAUCGGACGGGUGAGGAAGGUCAGCAGGAUCCGAUGGUCGGGCUGAGCUCGCGGGGGUCGGGAGAGGAGCGAAACAGGUAGGGGUCGGAGCUCAGGGGUCGGGACCGGCGGAAACUGGGCACUUAGGUGUGGUGAAACAAAACAGCUAACUAAGGUUAAGGGCUGGGAUUAAGCCUAACUGGGAAGGCUUAGGGGUCGGUCGUUACAAUAAUACCACACUUCCGAGGUGUGAUUGCAUAGGGACGCUACGAGGCCUUUACAAAGAUUCAUUAGUCAGUGGUAACCCGCUAAGGUUUCGGUGUCUGGCGUGCACCACCCAUCCCAGGCAAAAUGCAACGACUCAGUCCCCCCUCUUGCCUCAUCACGAGUAAGGUCACCCCAGACUAAGGUUUCUAAUUAUUCAGCCAAGACCAGAGCCAUUUAGUCUUGUGGUAGCACUGUUUUCCUGGGUGGUCGCUCCAUGUUCCAAUUAAAAUAUUGUGAUCUUGUAUUAACAAAAGGUAAUAUCAUAAACAGAAUAAGUUCACCAUGCUGUUCAUUAGAACCACCAUAACCCAAGUAUAGCAGCUAAGCAUAGCUACCCAACAGAAAGGUAAACCCAGGUUGGCAAGGAAUAAUCAUAAAAACUAGGCAAACCUUAAUAGGACCCAACAAAUUUAAUGCAAGCAUAUGCAAUAGUGAUUAAACAAAGUUAUUAGGACAAAAGUACAAGGACACACUUGCCUUUCUCCAACGAAAAGUUACUCUUACUUCUCUUCGGCUCUUGCUCACUUGAAACUCUUAAUCUUCAAAGCUUUCGAACAGCGAUCCUUCUACUUGAAGCAAUCACCGGCACAAUCAUACAAGCAAGCAAACAAAUACAACUAAGAGCAGUACACCAAAACAAAAGGAAAGCUUUAAAAGAGCGUACUAACGACAAGGCUCGAUCUAAGGUCACGCGAACGUAAGGAACGCUUAAAACGGAACUAUGGUUGAAAAGAUAAAGCUAUCGAGAGUUUUGAAUUAUAAAAGAAAGAUAAGAGCUACAAGCUUUAUUUAUUUUAGUUGAGAAAAGCAAUGUAAAGAUAUUUCACAGAAAUAUCCUUAGUUAGAAUUAAUCAAGUCACAUUUAUAUUUUCAUAAGAAAAGACGGUGUAAAGCUUAGUCCAAUUUUAUUUAUAAAUAUUUGAGUACAAUUUAUGCAAAUUAAACAUUUAAUUUAAAAAUAAGAUACAUGUAGACAUCAAGCGUAUAGCUUUACAUCUCGAGUUCAACUAAGUAGAUUAGAUUAAAAACACAUUUAUAUUUAUAUUAGCCAAAUUAAUAUUUAAUUAUGAAAACUCGAGAUAUAACCCAUACAGAUUUUAUUUAGAAAACAAAUUGAAUAAACAUUAAUCAAAUUGAAUUUAAUUUAUGAAACGCCGAGGUAUAACUCUAAGUGGCUUUUAAUUGGAAGAAUUAUUUAGAUACGCAUUAAUCCAAUUAACUUUAGUUUAUGAAAAACCGAUAUAUAACCUAAUUGGCUUUUAUUUAGAAGAGGGUAUGAAGUAGGCAUUAAUCAAAUUAACAAUUAUUAUGAAAAACGAUGUUUAACACUAAAUAGAUUUUAUUUAGAGAAGAACUCGUUUGUCAAGCAUUAACCAAUUUUAAUAUAAAUUUUAUUUUUAAAAACAUGUGUGUAGGAAAACAUUACCACUAACGUGUAAUUUACAUCAUUAUGAAUCUAACGCAACUUGAACGGACGAAAAGGGAAUUAAAACGUAGAAUCUAUGGGUUAAAUAACGUUGCAGGGGUCUAAACGUAAUUAACCGUAGACUUGGAGGGUUAGCUGAGAAGAUUACCAAGACUCAGAGAAUAGUCACUGUGAAUAGAUGGAUCUUCGGGGUUAGAUCUGCAAAAGAGGAUGGCUUGGAUCAGAUUGCAAGGAACUGAAAAGUUCAGGGGUUAUUUGAAGAGUUUCCAAGACUCAAAGGAAGAAGCGAACUAAUUAAAGGAUCUUUGGGGGCCUUGACGCAAAACUGACAGUCUUCUUCUUCCUCACGCCAGGGGCACGGUGCACCUCCUGGCCGGCGGCCUGCCGGGGCUCCGGUGCGACGGGGACUCGGGUGAGUGGUCUAGGCGGUGGUGGCCGGGCUGCUGGCCCCAGCGGUAAUGCGGGCACGAGGUACGGGCGGCGUCUCGGCCAGGAGCAGGCGGCGGACAGAAACAGAAGGCAGUCUGUUACGGUUGCAAAAACAAGGAAAAGAGAGAGAAAGAGGGAAUCGCCGGAAACGAAGUCCGAUCUCGCGCAUGAACGGAAAAAUGGAACGUUAUCGACGAGGCGAACAAGAUGGUGUGCUCACCUUCGGCAAGAGAUGAACAAUGGCGACGGAAAAGCUCGCCGGAGUUGGGGAAGAUGACGGAGCCGACAUCGGAUUCAUGCAAUCCACCACACCACGGCGUAGAGCUCGAAGAGAGAAACUCCAUGGUGGUGUCGGUUUUCGCCGGAAGUCCACGGUUUCGCCGGAGUUUGACGAAGACCGAACUUUGACUUCAGAUCUACGGAGUUAGGAGAUGCAACUCGUGAAAAGGUUUUCAGAUCUGAAAUCCUCGCGUCGAGACGAACGCGGUCAUAUAUAUAUACGCCACACUCGGGAAAAGAUAUUUUCGAGUUGACUUUUUGUUUUUCGGAAUUUCUGAAUUUAUUUAUCUGCGCGAAAACAAUUCCAGAAAUAGCCGGACUCAUUUUCUAAAGCGAGAAAAAUACCUAGAAAAUUCCGAAAAAUCUGAGAUAAAUCUCAGAGAUGGAUUGGGAUGCAAGGAAUCCAAAUAAAAUACUUGGAGCUCAUGAAAAGGAUUCUAGAGCCUUCUAAAAAUUAGAUUUAACUCUAGGAAAAGGAAAAUAAUUUCCGGAAAAAGAUGGAAAAUUCUCACAAGGGUCUGGGCAACGUCUAAACGUAUUUUCAAACUUUUGCACUCAAGAAACACCAAGAUGCAGCGACAUGAAUGCACAGACAUAGAACAACAUUAUUUAAUUUAAUAAAAGCAAACAAUUAUUUUUCCUAUACUAAAUUUCCUGUAAAGAAAAAUAAAUGUUGGGAAAAUUUUAAAAUUAUGAGAAAAUUAUUGUUUAUUUAUUCUUUUUAUUCACAUCUUGAAAUUCGGAAAUUUCAGGGUGUGACAGGUAGCCGUCCUCCUCCUCAUCCAGGAGCGCCUGGGCGAGGGCACGCAGUGCGGGGAGGCGGUGGCCCGGGAGGUCGAGGGCGAGGGCCACGCGAGACGAUCUGUUUCUAGGAUGGGUGGGAGCGGGACAGAUCCGCU